CCUACGGGUGACAGCAGUCGAGAAUCAUUCACAAUGGGGGAAACCCUGAUGGUGCGACGCCGCGUGGGGGAAUGAAGGUCUUCGGAUUGUAAACUCCUGUCAUGUGGGAGCAAAUUAAAAAGAUAGUACCACAAGAGGAAGAGACGGCUAACUCUGUGCCAGCAGCCGCGGUAAUACAGAGGUCUCAAGCGUUGUGCGGAAUCACUGGGCGUAAAGGGUGCGUAGGCUGUUUCGUAAGUCGUGUGUGAAAGGCGCGGGCUCAACCCGCGGACGGCACAUGAUACUGCGAGACUAGAGUAAUGGAGGGGGAACCGGAAUUCUCGGUGUAGCAGUGAAAUGCGUAGAUAUCGAGAAGAACACUCGUGGCGAAGGCGGGUUCCUGGACAUUAACUGACGCUGAGGCACGAAGGCCAGGGGAGCGAAAGGGAUUAGAUACCCGAGUAGUC
rnacentral:rRNA from 1 species